CGGGGGGCAGCAGUGGGGAAUCUUGCGCAAUGGACGAAAGUCUGACGCAGCAACGCCGCGUGAGUGAAGAAGGCCUUUGGGUUGUAAAGCUCUUUCGACUGGAAAGAAGGGUUUCGUUGCGAAUAGUUACGGAACUUGACGGUACCAGGAGAAGAAGUCCCGGCUAACUUCGUGCCAGCAGCCGCGGUAAUACGAAGGGGACAAGCGUUGUUCGGAAUCAUUGGGCGUAAAGGGCGCGUAGGCGGACCUGUAAGUCGAUUGUGAAAUCCCUGGGCUUAACCCGGGAAUUGCAGUCGAAACUACAAGUCUUGAGUACUGGAGAGGAUGGUGGAAUUCCUGGAGUAGUAGUGAAAUACGUAGAUAUCAGGAGGAACACCGGAGGCGAAGGCGGCCAUCUGGCCAGUCACUGACGCUGAGGCGCGAAAGCAUGGGGAGCAAACAGGAUUAGAUACCCCCGU
rnacentral:rRNA from 1 species